rnacentral:rRNA from 1 species
CAGCCGCCGCGGUAAUACCGGCGGCCCGAGUGGCGGUCACUAUUAUUGGGCUUAAAGCGUCCGUAGCCGGGUUGGGAAGGCCUCCGGGAAAUCUGGCCGCUUAACGGUCCGAAUGCCGGAGGAUACUCCCAGCCUAGGGAGCGGGAGAGGCCGAGGGGAUUCCCGGAGUAGGGGUGGAAUCCUAUAAUCCCGGGAGGGCCACCUGUGGCGAAGGCGCUCGGCUGGAACGCGUCCGACGGUGAGGGACGAAGGCCAGGGGAGCAAACCGGAUUAGAUACCCGGGUAGUCCUGGCUGUAAACGAUGCGGACUUUGUGUCGGACAAGCUAUGAGCUUGUCCGGUGCCGGAGGGAAACCGUUAAGUCCGCCGCCUGGGGAGUACGGCCGCAAGGCUGAAACUUAAAGGAAUUGGCGGG